UCCUACGGGGGCGCAGUGGGGGAUAUUGCACAAUGGGGGAAACCCUGAUGCAGCGACGCCGCGUGGGUGAAGGAGCGCCUCGGCGCGUAAAGCCCUGUCAGCAGGGAAGAAAAUGACGGUACCUGCAAAGGAAGCACCGGCUAACUCCGUGCCAGCAGCCGCGGUAAUACGGAGGGUGCGAGCGUUAAUCGGAAUUACUGGGCGUAAAGCGCUCGUAGGCGGUAUGUCAAGUCAAGGGUGAAAUCCCCGCGCUCAACGUGGGAACUGCCUUUGAAACUGGCAAACUGGAGGGUGUGAGAGGAUAG
rnacentral:rRNA from 1 species